GAAUGUAGAUGGAAGGAGAUGCCGGAGAGAAAGAUUGGAGGCUAAGGAAGACGCCGGAGGAAGAAGGAGAUCAGUGCGCCAAAGAAGGAAGAUGUGAGCUCGUGAAAAGAAGUACGGGACGUGCUGAUAUUUAAGGGUGGUCUGAGAAGGGGUAAAAGCGGGAUUUUUACCGUGCCGGCGUUUCGAUUUUUUCGGGAAGAGUGGUUGUCGUGGG
rnacentral:lncRNA from 1 species